AAAUUGUUUUUAUAAUAGAAUAAUAGACUAAGUUUUCUUUUCAAAUUGCUGGAGUUAAAUGCAAAUUCCAAGGGGUGUACCCAUACAUAAAAUGCACGGUUCGAUACAAACUUCGGUUUUGGAUUCAUGGUUCGGUGAAAUUUCGGUACAGCAGGGAAAACAGAAUAUGUUUUUAAAUUAUUUAUUUUUAAUACUGAGACCACCAACUCAUUUAUAAGAUUAAAAUCUGUCGACGUGUCUGAUUAACAAAACCCAAGAGACUUUUAUUCGCACAUUGUAAAAAUAAAUAUGUAAAAUAAAUAAAAACAUCUAAAAUAAAACAUCAUAACUAUAAUGAAAAACUUCGGUUUUGGAUUCGUGGUUCGGUGCAAUUUCUUUACAGCAGGGAAAACACAAUCCAAUUGUCGCCUACUUCCGAGUAUGGCCGCAGUUACGUAGCGAUAAUUUUUAUGCCAGGUUAGAAUUUUCUGGCAGAGCUGCUUAAAUGCCAUACGGAGAAUAACUUGCGGAGGUUGUUUCUGCCUUUCUCUGGUCGCACAUACACUUGGAUGAUGUCGUCUCAAAUCAGUUAGCAUGUCGGAUAUGUUUCCAGCAACCGAGUUGGGUAUAACGGAGCCGGGAGACUGUCUUGGUCUCGCCGAUUAUACACUCUCCAGUGCUGGUGUACCGAAGUGAUGUACCGAACUCUACGUGACGAAUACGUGCACCGGCACUGCCUACACAUUCCUAAUCCCUGUUAAUACGGAAGCAUUAUCUGCAUUGCUUCGAAAUUUACAAUAAAUACCAGAUUGUCGAUCGUAUUCUGUUUCAAAGGUGAACACUAUGUAGUCAUUAAGUGCAGAUAAAGCGAUUUCAUUGUGUAAAUAUUGCACCGAGGAUGAUUCGGUGUCGUGCGAUAAGUCCUUAGGAUAGUAUGGCUGUAUCUGUGCUCUUUAGGUUAGCUCAUAUCCAGAAUUCAUUUGGUAAAUUCGAUUUCCCAACAAACUUUAUUAGUCAUUCGUUCUUACUGAAUUACAUUUGUAGAAUAAAAGGGAUGUCAUGCAUUAAAUAUCUGCUUAAAACAUAAACUAAAUAAUAUAAACUGAAUAUAUGAAUAAACAUCAAUCAUUCUUCACAGGAGGAGAUGGCUUCUUCGAAGUUGAGAAGUAGAAAACUUUCUCCAAAACAAGAGGCUGCAUAUUUUAUAUCUGCAUGUAAAGACAAAGAUGGACUUUAUGUGAAAUAUAUAAAUUCAUAUAAAGGCCGUGGGGUAUACAGCAGAUUCCAUUUUGAGAGGGGAGAUUUUCUUCUGGAAUACAGAGGGCAACUCAUCAGCAGGCAUGAAUGUGAAAGUAGACAGAAAAUAUAUCAUGAUGCCCUCAAAGUGUUCAUGUUUGAAUUUUAUUUCAAUGGAAAAUUGUUUUGCAUUGAUGCUGCCCGAGACGAUGGCUCCCUUGGGAGACUGGUGAAUGAUGACCAUGUUAGCCCAAACAGCAAAAUGAAAAAAAUCACCAUAUCAGGAAAGCCCCAUCUAUGUUUAUUCGCAACCAGAAGCAUUAGUCCUGGAGAAGAAAUUACAUAUAACUACGGUGACUCUGACUGGCCAUGGAGAUGCAAGGUGGCUACUGAAAAAGACCAACUGCACCCAAAAGAGCAGAGCACAUCAAGUGAGGUAGGGAGGACAGGGAAAGUAAUUCAGUUAAACUCUUGUAUGUGUGAUUAUUAGGUUUAAGUAGUUGGAGAUAUAGAUGUGUGUUGAAUGAGGAUAUGCAGAGAGAAUGCUGGUAAUUCUCUGUCCCUGCAAAAGGGAGAUCAGCGUGUGAAAGUGUGCUUGACAAAAGCAUUGUCUGUGAGGAUAUGGUGUUGAUGAGAACUGCAGAGAUUACUGGGAUUUUGUGUUUGAACAUUGUGUGAAACAAUGCUUAGAUAUUAGAAAUG